UCCAUGGGCCGUAGCCUCCUCUGGGCCACAUCCACCUGCUCCACCGAGGGCCUCCCUUACAGGCUGCAUGGGAACUUCUCCUUCUGGGCAUGGACUUUCUGCACCUUGGGGUCUGCAGGGCUGUUUCUCUUGUUUCUCGAUCCUUUUUCCUUGCUGCUGUAGUGCAGCACUUUUUCCCUUUCCUAAAUAUGCUUUCACAGUGGCGCAGCUAGCAGCACUCUCUGGCUUUGCUCUCACCAGCAGAAGGUCGCUUUGAGUCAUCUGGAGUUGGCUCGUUGGGGCAGCUUGUGGACUUCUCUCACAGAGGCCCUCCCCUGCAGCGCUCCCCUACCAAAACCUUGCCAUAUAAACCAAAUACAUGGGCUUUAUAUAGACUGCACUUUAUUUUUAAUACUACCACGACAAAGUGUUACAAAAACAUGUGUUUUAAAUAGCUUCACAAAUCCAGUUUGCUAGAAAGCAGAUCUCCAACACUCUCCAAUAUUUAUCUCACCUAAUAUAAGUCAUCUAAACUAGUUUGAGAUAAAUGUCUAAGGUCCCCCUCAAUAUCUACAGCAGAUAUAUCAAAAACAUGCAGAGGGCAAGUCAUCCCAGAGGAUUCUAAAUUAAAAAUCUAACCAGAAAAGAAAAAUCAGCUUUCAGAGAUGUUUGUCUCUUCAGUAAUUACAAAAAAAAAAAAAAAAAAAAUAAAAAAAAAUCUAUAAAUAGUUAAAACUCUUUUAGACUAAAUUAGUUGUCUAUCUAAUGGUUAGUUGACUAAGUUUGGAUGAGAUGGAUAUCAGAAAAAACUAGCAAAUCAAAUAACUAGCACCUCAAAUUGAUAAAUAAUGGUGCCCAGCCAGCUAUUGGUUGCCUUUCACUGUAGCCAGGCAAAUUUGAUUAAUUAUAAUUAAUGCAAUAAAAACUGAGUCCUGCAGCUUAUUAAUCAUUUCAGAACCUGCAGGGUAAUACUCAUACAGUGCUCAGUAUUACUUGUCCACACGUUGUAUAUUUACAACUACUCUUGUUAAAAGUUUAUCAUUGAAGACAUGAGCGAACAGUUUUCCUCCUGAAAGGUCUUUGUGAAAGAUAAGUUCCUUCAUCUAAUGGUAAAACCACCAAGACAAGGUUAUGGAGAAAACAAUGUGUUCAACACUAUCUUGAAAUUCAGUUUCAUAAUUAGCUUUGCUUACAGCUGUAUCUGGGAUCACUGAAAAAAUAAAUAAAAGUCACACAGCUUUUGGCUUUUGGGAAAAACCUCUGUGCUUCCCUUCCCUUUGUUCUUAGCAUGUUCAUCCCACUCUGUUAAUCAUACUAUGCAUUACCAAUUCCACCCAAAGACUGUGUGAGAACUGGAGAUUCAUAACUUUUGACAAAAUCCCUGGGAGGUUGCAAUGCAUACUGCCAAAAGGAGAGAAACAGAAUGAAUGAAAUCAAUGAAGAUGCCUGCAGAGAAAUGUUUAAACUGUACAAUGGUAGCACAAUUACAGUCUAAAUAAAUGUAUGGCAAUAAGAUACUAAUCAUAUAUAAUGCAAUGAUUUCUAGAAUCAUGUUUUUUUCUGCAAGGAGAACCCUAUGUUUAAACAAAGCACUAAUCUCUAUAGUAAGAGAAAAAAAGUGGAUACUUGUGAUGCUGGCGAGAAGACCAUUGUGUAUGGAGGUGUUACACUGCCUGGGUGGUUUUGCCUUUAUGUAACAGUGCAGCACAAAGUUCACCCAAGAGCAUUGAUUCUGUUUGACUGUAUAAAUGAUAAAUAGAGCUGUUUUCUUGUAUGAAAAUCCUGUAAUAGCUUGAAAGACGAAAAGGGGAUAAUAAUUGAUGGGGUCUGUAUGGUGUGCUGCACAUGGAUCAGAGUCCUGUUCGAUGCUACACAGCUCGGGGCUCCCAGCUUCUAAAGGGGCACAAGAUUAUCUAUGUUGUUCUCUUCUUAUAGCCUUAGUGCAAAUAAAUAGCACUUUAAAUGG